UACGUAGGGGGCAAGCGUUGUCCGGAAUCAUUGGGCGUAAAGCGCGUGUAGGCGGCCAGAAAAGUCCGCUGUGAAAACUCGAGGCUCAACCUCGAGCUGUCGGUGGAAACUUUCUGGCUAGAGUCCGGAAGAGGAGAAUGGAAUUCCUGGUGUAGCGGUGAAAUGCGCAGAUAUCAGGAAGAACACCCGUGGCGAAGGCGGGUCUCUGGGCAACAACUGACGCUGAGGAGCGAAAGCGUGGGGAGCGAACAGG
rnacentral:rRNA from 1 species